GAUGAAGAACGUAGCGAAAUGCGAAAAGUAAUGUGAAUUGCAGAAUUCAGUGAAUCAUCGAAUCUUUGAACGCACAUUGCGCCCGCCAGUAUUCUGGCGGGCAUGCCUGUCUGAGCGUCAUUUCAACCCUCACGCCCCUAGGGCGUGGUGUUGGGGAUCGGCCAAGGCCCGCAAGGGACGGCCGGCCCCAAAUCUAGUGGCGGACCCAUCGUGGCCUCCCCUGCGAAGUAGUAAUAUAUUCCGCAUCGGAUAGCGAUGAGCCCCUGCCGUUAAACCCCCAACUCUUUCAAGGUUGACCUCAGAUCAGGUAGGAAUACCCGCUGAACUUAAGCAUAUCAAUAAGCGGAGGA
rnacentral:misc_RNA from 1 species